GACGAACGCUGGCGGCGUGCUUAACACAUGCAAGUCGAACGGUGAAGCCCUUCGGGGUGGAUCAGUGGCGAACGGGUGAGUAACACGUGGGCAAUCUGCCCUGCACUCUGGGACAAGCCCUGGAAACGGGGUCUAAUACCGGAUACGACUCGGGAGCGCGUGUUCCCGGGUGGAAAGCUCCGGCGGUGCAGGAUGAGCCCGCGGCCUAUCAGCUUGUUGGUGGGGUGAUGGCCUACCAAGGCGACGACGGGUAGCCGGCCUGANAGGGCNACCGGCCACACUGGGACUGAGACACGGCCCANACUCCUACGGGAGGCAGCAGNGGGGAAUAUUGCACAAUGGGCGCAAGCCUGAUGCANCGACGCCGCGUGAGGGAUGACGGCCUUCGGGUUGUAAACCUCUUUCAGCAGGNAAGAAGCGUGAGUGACGGUACCUGCAGAAGAAGCACCGGCUAACUACGUGC
rnacentral:rRNA from 1 species